rnacentral:lncRNA from 1 species
CCCACUGGCUUGUAUGUCCAUCCUGCAUUUUGCCAGUUGUAUCCUUCAUUUGUUAUCUGUUUGGAUGAACAAUUGAACAUGUUAUACAUAGUAGCUUGAUGGUGUGCCAAUACGGUCAGGCUCUAGAAGUCGCGCGGCUGCCGCCUGCCGCCUGCCGGUCUGCCCUAUUGUAAGUUUGCACCACCAUUGGAGCUGAAAUAUCAGUAGACCGGUAUUGUAUCUGCAUGUUGUUUCCUGAUCACCGCAGUUGCCGGACGGUGAAUAGUUUGUAAUGACAGCAAAAAACAGUGUGGAAAAUCUUGAUUUGAUGUGAACUUUAUUUCAUUCAUCAGCAUCUUUCUACAUGUUUCAUUCGGUAUUUCAGCAGAAGAUAGUGUCGUACACAAUCCAUUUAUACAACAAAAUGAAAAGCUAUAAUACAAUGCUCUGAACUUCAGUUACAAGGUGUAGUUUACUGCAGUAUGCAAAAUGUGAAAGUACAUAAAUUCCAGUCCAGCUUCAGCUUCGUGUAUCAACCCCUGACCCA